GAACCCCCCAUAAUCCCACCUAAUCUCCCCAUAAUCCCCCCAAAACCCCCAUAAUCCCCCAUAAUCCCCCCUAAUCCCCCAUAAUCCCCCCUAAUCCCAUACCUGAUCGGUGCACCAAUACCAGCCCGCUGUCGCCCCUAAUCCCAAAAGCAUUCCAGGCCACGGCAAAUCCCCUCCCGGGGGGCGCAGAAGUUUUAGGGCCAAAGCUCGAUGGGGGCAACGCUGAGUUGUGGGGGGCAGAGAAAGGGGGAAGCGAUGGAAAAGGGACGGGACCCCCCCCACGGCGGUCAGGGCUGCGGGAUUAGAUGGGAUUAUGGGGGAUUAGAUGGGAUUAUGGGGCGUUAUAUGGGAUUAUGGGGUAUUAGAUGGGAUUAUGGGGUGUUAUGGGGUGUUCUAUGGGAUUAUGGGGGGUUCUAUGGGAUUAUAUGGGGGCAGCGAAAGGGGGAAGCGAUGGAAAAGGGACGGGACCCCCCCACGGCGGUCAGGGCUGCGGGAUUAGAUGGGAUUAUGUGGGAUUAUAUGGGAUUAUAUAGGAUUACGGGGUGUUAUAUGGGAUUAGGGGGGGUUAUAUGGGAUUAUGGGGGUGUUAUAUGGGAUUAUGGGGGGUAAUAUGGGAUUAUGGGGAGUUAUAUGGGAUUAUAUGGGGGGAAGAGAUGGAAGAGGGAUGGGACACCCCCCACCAGAAGUCAGGGUUGUGGGAUUAGAUGAGAUUAUGGGGGAUUAGAUGGGAUUAUAGGCGUUUUAUAUGGGAUUAUGUGGGAUUAGAUGGGAUUAUGGGGUAUUAUGGGGUGUUAUAUGGGAUUAUGGGGGGUUAUAUGGGAUUAUAUGGGGGGAAGCGAUGGAAAAGGGACGGGACCCCCCCACGGCGGUCGGGGCUGCGGGAUUAGAUGGGAUUAUGGGGGAUUAGAUGGGAUUAUGGGGGUGUUAUAUGGGAUUAGGGGGCGUUAUAUGGGAUUAUGAGGGAUUAGAUGGGAUUAUGGGGUGUUAUGGGGUGUUAUAUGGGAUUAUAUGGGGGGAAGAGAUGGAAGAGGGAUGGGACCCCCCCACGGCGGUCAGGGCUGCGGGAUUAGAUGGGAUUAUGGGGGAUUAGAUGGGAUUAUGGGGGNNNNNNNNNNNNNNNNNNNNNNNNNNNNNNNNNNNNNNNNNNNNNNNNNNNNNNNNNNNNNGACCCCCCCCACCAGAAGUCAGGGUUGUGGGAUUAGAUGGGAUUAUGGGGGAUUAGAUGGGAUUAUGGGCGUUAUAUGGGAUUAUGGGGUAUUAGAUGGGAUUAUGGGGUGUUAUGGUGUGUUAUAUGGGAUUAUGGGGUGUUAUAUGGGAUUAUGGGGUGUUAUAUGGGAUUAUGGGGGGUUAUAUGGGAUUAUAUGGGGGCAGCGAAAGGGGGAAGCGAUGGAAAAGG
rnacentral:lncRNA from 1 species